rnacentral:rRNA from 1 species
GACGAACGCUGGCGGUGUGCUUAACACAUGCAAGUCGAACGGAAAGGCCCUUCGGGGUGCUCGAGUGGCGAACGGGUGAGUAACACGUGGGUGAUCUGCCCUGCACUUUGGGAUAAGCCUGGGAAACUGGGUCUAAUACCGAAUAUGAUCAUCGGCCUCAUGGUCGGUGGUGGAAAGCUUUUGCGGUGUGGGAUGGGCCCGCGGCCUAUCAGCUUGUUGGUGGGGUAAUGGCCUACCAAGGCGACGACGGGUAGCCGGCCUGAGAGGGUGACCGGCCACACUGGGACUGAGAUACGGCCCAGACUCCUACGGGAGGCAGCAGUGGGGAAUAUUGCACAAUGGGCGCAAGCCUGAUGCAGCGACGCCGCGUGAGGGAUGACGGCCUUCGGGUUGUAAACCUCUUUCAGCACAGACGAAGCGCAAGUGACGGUAUGUGCAGAAGAAGGACCGGCCAACUACGUGCCAGCAGCCGCGGUAAUACGUAGGGUCCGAGCGUUGUCCGGAAUUACUGGGCGUAAAGAGCUCGUAGGUGGUUUGUCGCGUUGUUCGUGAAAACUCACAGCUUAACUGUGGGCGUGCGGGCGAUACGGGCAGACUCGAGUACUGCAGGGGAGACUGGAAUUCCUGGUGUAGCGGUGGAAUGCGCAGAUAUCAGGAGGAACACCGGUGGCGAAGGCGGGUCUCUGGGCAGUAACUGACGCUGAGGAGCGAAAGCGUGGGGAGCGAACAGGAUUAGAUACCCUGGUAGUCCACGCCGUAAACGGUGGGUACUAGGUGUGGGUUUCCUUCCUUGGGAUCCGCGCCGUAGCUAACGCAUUAAGUACCCCGCCUGGGGAGUACGGCCGCAAGGCUAAAACUCAAAGGAAUUGACGGGGGCCCGCACAAGCGGCGGAGCAUGUGGAUUAAUUCGAUGCAACGCGAAGAACCUUACCUGGGUUUGACAUGCACAGGACGCUGGUAGAGAUAUCAGUUCCCUUGUGGCCUGUGUGCAGGUGGUGCAUGGCUGUCGUCAGCUCGUGUCGUGAGAUGUUGGGUUAAGUCCCGCAACGAGCGCAACCCUUGUCCUAUGUUGCCAGCGGGUUAUGCCGGGGACUCGUAGGAGACUGCCGGGGUCAACUCGGAGGAAGGUGGGGAUGACGUCAAGUCAUCAUGCCCCCUUAUGUCCAGGGCUUCACACAUGCUACAAUGGCCGGUACAAAGGGCUGCUAUGCCGUGAGGUGGACCGAAUCCUUUCAAAGCCGGUCUCAGUUCGGAUCGGGGUUCUGGCAACUCCACCCCCUGAAAGUCGGAGCCCCUUGUUAUCGCAGAUUCACCUACGCUGGUGGUGAACUCGUUCCCGGGCCU